CCUACGGGAGGCAGCAGUGGGGAAUAUUGCACAAUGGGGGAAACCCUGAUGCAGCGACGCCGCGUGAGUGAAGAAGUAUUUCGGUAUGUAAAGCCCUAUCAGCAGGGAAGAAAAUGACGGUACCUGACUAAGAAGCCCCGGCUAACUACGUGCCAGCAGCCGCGGUAAUACGUAGGGGGCAAGCGUUAUCCGGAUUUACUGGGUGUAAAGGGAGCGUAGACGGCAGUGCAAGUCUGGAGUGAAAUGCCGGGGCUUAACCACGGGACUGCUUUGGAAACUGUGCGGCUAGAGUGCAGGAGGGGUAAGUGGAAUUCCUAGUGUAGCGGUGAAAUGCGUAGAUAUUAGGAGGAACACCAGUGGCGAAGGCGGCUUACUGGACUGUAACUGACGUUGAGGCUCGAAAGCGUGGGGAGCAAACAGGAUUAGAUACCCCAGUAGUC
rnacentral:rRNA from 1 species